CCUACGGGAGGCAGCAGUGAGGAAUAUUGGUCAAUGGCCGGAAGUCUGAACCAGCCAAGCCGCGUGAAGGACGAAGGUGCCAAGCAUUGUAAACUUCUUUUGUCCAGGGACAAUUACAGAUUCGUGUGUCUGACUGAGGGUACCUGAAGAAUAAGCAUCGGCUAACUCCGUGCCAGCAGCCGCGGUAAUACGGAGGAUGCGAGCGUUAUCCGGAUUUAUUGGGUUUAAAGGGUGCGUAGGCGGCCUGUUAAGUCAGCGGUAAAAGCCCGGGGCUCAACCCCGGCGAGCCGUUGAAACUGGCUGUCUAGAGAGGACGUGCGGAAUGCGGAAUGUGCAGUGUAGCGGUGAAAUGCUUAGAUAUUGCACAGAACACCGAUUGCGAAGGCAGCUUACCGGCGGAGAUCUGACGCUGAGGCACGAAAGCGUGGGUAUCGAACAGGAUUAGAUACCCUAGUAGUC
rnacentral:rRNA from 1 species